GUCUCUGGUUACACCACCCUGCAUGCGCCCGAUCUCAUCUGAUCUCAGAAGAUAAACAGAGUCAAGCCUGGUUAGUACUUGGAUGGGAGAAAUAAGAAAAUACAAUAGCACUAGUCAGU
rnacentral:rRNA from 1 species